AGUGAACGCUGGCGGUAGGCUUAACACAUGCAAGUCGAACGGCAGCACAGUAAGAGCUUGCUCUUACGGGUGGCGAGUGGCGGACGGGUGAGGAAUACAUCGGAAUCUACUUUUUCGUGGGGGAUAACGUAGGGAAACUUACGCUAAUACCGCAUACGACCUACGGGUGAAAGCAGGGGAUCUUCGGACCUUGCGCGAUUGAAUGAGCCGAUGUCGGAUUAGCUAGUUGGCGGGGUAAAGGCCCACCAAGGCGACGAUGCGUAGCUGGUCUGAGAGGAUGAGCAGGCACACUGGAGCGAAGACACGCUCCAGAAUCCUACGGGGGGCAGGAGUGGGAAAGAUUGGAGAAGGGGGGAAAGCCUGAUCCAGCCAGGCAGCGUGGGUGAAGAAGGCCUUCGGGUUGUAAAGCCCUUUUGUGGGGAAAGAAAAGCAGCAGAUUAACACCGCGCUGUUCUAACGGUACCGAAAGAGUAGGCACGGGCUAACUUCGU
rnacentral:rRNA from 1 species